UCCAUGUCUUGGCUAUUGUAAAUAAUGCUGCUAUGAACAUUGGGGUGCAUGUAUCUUUUCAAAUUAGAGUUUUUAAGUGUUUUAUACUCACCCAAUUCUCUGCAUUUCUUAAAUGCCUUCCUGCUUAAAAUAGCUAAACUGGUUUCUGUUUUUCUAAAAGUGACCCAUGAAUGAUACAUUGGCUGAAGGUAAGCAAAAGCUACAGCCCAAGAAUAACACUGUCAUCCAUAUCUCUAUGAUCUUUGUAGCCUUCAGGUGAACUGAUGAAAAACCACCAUGAAAUCUCAGGAGUAAUGAGUUACUUCUUCCUGUGUUCCUUGCCCCACUUCUAAAGUACAUAAUUAUAUCCCACCACUGCUACUAUUAUAAUGGAUGUGAGGUGGUAAUCUCUUGGACUGCGUGUUGGCAAUCAAGCUCACAGCCAUAAUUCAUUCAAAAAUCGUUUACCAAGCAGAUGACAGUGAGCCAGUCUAGAAAGGCUUGUUAGGAACUAACCACACUAACAUUAGUGUAGUGUGGCUUCCCAGGUCCCACAGACCCACUGGCUGAUGCAUUCUGAUAUCACUGGCUUAAGGAAUCUACAGAUCUGAGGAUGCCUGCCAAGUUCCUCAACUAUUCUGCAUACUUUCCUUGUGAAUGAGGCACAGCUGGGAUGGGUUCCCUGACAUUAUCCACACACUAGUAUGAGAAAUAUCUAAGCCCUUUCGACCUCAUAGGAUUGGCUGUAAACAAGACACAUUCUACUUAUUUAUGCUUUUCAACAACUGCUCUUCCAGUCCAAGGGCACUUUACAUGCAUAUGCAGUAUACCAGCCACUCUUAGAAUGACAUUGUUACUCCAGAUGGUGUAUCGUAUACAGAGUCUCUGGUAAGUGGAUUCUUUACUGAUAAAUGUCCAGAUUUUCACAUAAGAUACUUGAUAAGAUUUCAAACUGAACCUACAGUGUACAAAAUUAACCUCAGAGUUUGAUUUUCAGGGAGUCACAGACUGAAAUUCCUCAAUUUUCUAUGACCAGUAUGCUACGAGAAUCCCUAACUUUUGUAGCUGCAGGGCUGAGAUUGCUAUAAGAAUGAGAAAAGGAAUCAGAGAUUUCCAAGUACUCAAUCUCUCUUAAAAACCCACCAUUGAAAUUUCACUGCAUAAGGAAGCCCUCUACCUUCUUUGUCCAUAGAAACUUUUUUGCCAUCCUGAGAGCUCCCUUCCGGGAGGAAGCUGAUACUCCCCCCUCACAUCUGCUGUCAGCAGGCCAGGCACUAGGACCAGGUCCCAUUUUUCCCUGGGGUCAUAUGCAAAACCAGACAUUUCAAAAGGAAGUUUAUGUUUUGAAAACAUUGCAAGAAUUGCUUAAUUUUUAUCAACCAAAAAAAAUAAAAAGCAAACUUUUUACAAAUUGAUGUUGAGCCUAUUUGGCUCAGAAGCAUGGCUGAUACUUUCAGAUGGGGUUAAAUUUGUUUCCAGGGGUGACAAUUCCCUGGUCUUUACCCUACAACUUGCUCCCUGGAACCAAUUUUCGUAUCUGUUAGGAUUCUUCAGUUGUAACAACAUAAAUCAACUCUGGAUAACUGGAUUGUUGUAGUGGUUAAUAGCUUAGGCUUUCCUAAGGUACAAAUUCUGACUCUCUAACUUACUAAUUGUCACUGGACAAUCAAACUAAUCUCCAUUUGCUCUCUGCAAAAGGGAAUAAUAAAAAUACUACAUACUUCAUAAGGCCUUGUGAAGAACAAGUGGGAAAUUACAUUUGAAGUUUUGGUACAUGGUAACAGUUGGGUAGAUUUUAAUUAUAAUUUUAUUUCUAGCUGGCCCUUCAUUUCUUGAAAGAAUCAUAAUGAUCAUUAAAUAAAUCCCUGCUGCCUCUCACCCUGGAGUCCACCACGUAGAGUUGUUGAUGUAAUAAAUAAGUUGUUUCCGAAUGAGCACUUGUACUUUGCAGUGUCGGCCCUCGUGGCGUUAAAUUUGGAGCUUAUGCUUGAAAUCGUUUGUGUUAGUCCUAGAGUGAGCAGACCUGGACACAAAGUUGGGAAUGCAAGAGGUUUAUUGGGAGGUAAUAAAAGAAGUGGGAUCACCUUCAGACUGUGAUGUAAACUCUGGUGGCAGCGAAGGGAGAGGAGGAGGAAGCAGGUCUGGGGAAGGAGAGCCUCAGACUGCGAUGCAGAGAUGACAGAACUUCAGCCAACCCAAUGCGGAGCUCUAGAGCAAAGAUUGCUCUUAGAGGAAUAUGCAGAAAUGGCCAGGCCCUGAUGUCCCUGCUGUGCUGUCAUUGGCUGGGGGAUGCCUUGGAAGAGAAUGGUUUCAGCCUGAAAGUUAAUGGCAGAUCCCAAAAGCAUGCACAGCUGAGGCUGCCAGCAAGUUCUUCCUUGAAGGGAGUUCUGAGUGGUCAGCCUCUAUGGCUGUCGUGGUCCACCCCUUGUGCUGCAUGGCAGCAGCUUCUCUAGGGUUUCAAUGAGCCUCUCUUCCUAAUGGCGAAGUUACGGGUUCCAGCUGGUAUUCACUGUUCCCCUCCGGUGUCCAUUCUAAAUUCCUCUCUCCCUCAUCUACCCCCUCUCUGUCCUUAGUGGCUUAUCGAUUGGUUUGACACCCAUGUGCUAAUUCUAAGGACUCUGAACCCCUAGGAACCAUACUCUUCGUCUUCUCAGAUCAGGAUGGCUGCGCUUGUCCAUUUACAGUUAUGAUUGGACAAGGGAAUAACCAGAAGUACCCCAGUGGGUCACCUGAGUUCCACACAUAUUCCUGCCUGUCGCAGUUGUGUCACAGCAGCCCUGCCUCCUAUGGAUCGAGCUCAGUAACUCCUGUUAAGGCAGUAACUCCUGUUCUUGCCUGCUUAUCCUAAAUAUAAAGAGACCAAAGUUCCCAGAUGGCAGCCGUGUCUUACAGAUUAAUGGAAAACUUGCUAUGUCCCUUUGCAAGGGUAUGUCCCCUUUUGGAAUCAGGACCUGUAAUCCCGCAGAGCCCAGAGUUGUUUGGACAGAAAGCACAAAGUCCCCUGAUGGGUCAUUGCAAAUGAUGUUAAGUGGGGCCACUCCUGCUUGGUUCCUGGAUCCAUGAAUUCUUCCUGUUGGGGACGUGGAAUCAAUAGGUCUCUGAUUCAGUGUGUGCACUGCAUCCUGGAGGAUGGUACCCCAUCCUUGCAGAGUAUUACCUAGGAGUUAGUACUUCUGUAGGUCAUUUCAUUAUUCUAACAGGUUGGCAGCUUCUGGAUGGAGCAAUAUAUGAUAUGACCAUUGGAGCUCAUGGUCUUGGCCCCUCCCAUCCCUCCUUCUUUUCCCUACCUGAUUGGAUGCUAUACUGUGUAGGGCUUUAAGACUGUGGAACAGGUGCUCCCUAGCCAUGCCCUCCAAAUCUGUUCUAGGUAACUCAUAUAAGUGACAAAUAACACAAUAUUUGUUCUUCUGUAUCUGGCUUAUUUCACUUAGUAUAAUGUUUUCAAUGUUCAUCCAUGUUGUAGCAUGUGUGAGAAGAUGACUUUUUAAAAAGCUUUUAAUUGAAGUAUGACAUACAAAGAGAAAAGUGAGUAACUCCUCCCAAGUUGAACACAUCAGGGUAAGCAGCACCUAGAUAAGAAACCUAGUAACUGGCACCACAGAAGACCCCCCAUGCUCCCUUCCAGUCCUAACCCCAGUGAUAAGCUCUAUCCUAACUUCUAAGAAUACAGAUUAAUUUCACCUAGUAUUUAACUUUAUAUAAAUGAAACCAUGCAAUAUUUAUUCUUUUUCUGUCUGCUUUCUUUUGCUCAGUAUUAUGUUUGUGGCAUUCAUCCAUAUUGUUGUGUAUAGUUAUAGUUUUUUUAUUCUUGUUGCAAUAUAUGAAUAUUCUCAUUGCUAUGUGUGAAGAGUCUCAUUCUGUUGUAUGAAUAUACCACAAUUUAUUUAUCCUUUAUACUGUCGAUGGUACUUAGGUAGUUUCUGUUUUUAGCUCUUAUAAAUGGUGCUGCUAUGAACAUUCUUGAACAUGUCUUUUGGUGAACCCAUGAAUAGAUUUAUAUUAUUUAUAUGCAUACGUAAUAUAUGUUGAAUAUAUGGUAUAUAAUGUGAAUAUGUAAUAUGAACCUAUAUACAGGUUUCCCCUGUUAUCUGAAAGCAGAGCAUUCUUAUGAAACCUUUUGUAAGCCAAAAUGGCGAAGUGAAGAAACAAUUACCUAAGGACACAUCUUGCUAAUGGAUGCACAGGAUAAAUGGAACUAAAGCACAGAUGCUCACAGACACAGUUCAAAGCUAUGGCCGCUUGAUGCUGAGAUGCUGAGUGUAGCUCCCAGGGAAGGAGCUUGGCGGGGCCACUCUCAUUACUCAGACUCAGGGCGACAGGAGAUGAUGACUGAUGACUCAGCCUCCGUGGCUCCACUUCCCAGAGCUCCACUCACCACAUCAGUAAGCCUGGCACUGAGGGGGAGACAGAAUCACAACACGUGUUGCUGUCCAUUCUCGCAGAGAUGUCAAGAGCCAAGGCCCGAGAAGAGGAGAGAACUGGGGCAUAAAGGAAAGAAGAAAGGGAUAAAUGGCCCAUUUAAACAUGGGGCCCCAUGUGGUCCAGUCUGUAUGACAUGUCACAUUCAACUAAACACAGGUUUGACAACUGAGACAAAUCAGAAGGGGGUUGGGAGCCCCAAGCAAUCCGAUCUGUUUGGAGCUGGAAGGACCAAGAGUGGUGAGGGCUGUGCUGUGUGGAAAGUGCUCCUCGAUAGCAGCAAACCACGGAAGGGGAGGGAGAUGAAGACACUGAUCAUGGCCUGGGGCAGUCGGUAUAUACCCAGCAGAGGAAUCACUGGAUCAUAUGGUAUGUGAAUAUAUCUUCUCAAGUAGAUUUCUCAAUUUCUCUACAGAAAACAAUUUUUAGAAAUGAUACCCACCAUUUAUUGAGUACUUACUACAUUCCAGCCCACAGGAAGACUGUGGCUCAAGCACUCACUCUCUCUUGCUUGCUUGCUCAUCCUGAUGGAAGCCAGCUGCCAUGUUGUGUGUUGCCUUAGGAGAGGCCCAUGUAGAACGAUCUGAGGGACGCUUCCAGACAACAGCCAGCAAGGAACUGAAGCCCUCCGCCCAACAGCCCAUGAGGAACUGGAUACAGCUAACAACCACAUGAAUGAGUUGGAAGUGGAUCAUGGAGCCUUUGAAUGAGACCACAACUCCAGCUGACAAUUUUUUUUAAAUUAAAUUUUAUUGGAAUAUA